UUUAUGGAGAGUUUGAUCCUGGCUCAGGAUGAACGCUGGCGGCGUGCCUAAUACAUGCAAGUCGAGCGAACAGAUGAGAAGCUUGCUUCUCUGAUGUUAGCGGCGGACGGGUGAGUAACACGUGGGUAACCUACCUAUAAGACUGGGAUAACUCCGGGAAACCGGGGCUAAUACCGGAUAAUAUUUUGAACCGCAUGGUUCGAUAGUGAAAGACGGUUUCGGCUGUCACUUAUAGAUGGACCCGCGCCGUAUUAGCUAGUUGGUAAGGUAACGGCUUACCAAGGCGACGAUACGUAGCCGACCUGAGAGGGUGAUCGGCCACACUGGAACUGAGACACGGUCCAGACUCCUACGGGAGGCAGCAGUAGGGAAUCUUCCGCAAUGGGCGAAAGCCUGACGGAGCAACGCCGCGUGAGUGAUGAAGGUCUUCGGAUCGUAAAACUCUGUUGUUAGGGAAGAACAAAUUUGUUAGUAACUGAACAAGUCUUGACGGUACCUAACCAGAAAGCCACGGCUAACUACGUGCCAGCAGCCGCGGUAAUACGUAGGUGGCAAGCGUUAUCCGGAAUUAUUGGGCGUAAAGCGCGCGUAGGCGGUUUCUUAAGUCUGAUGUGAAAGCCCACGGCUCAACCGUGGAGGGUCAUUGGAAACUGGG
rnacentral:rRNA from 1 species